ACCUUUAUAAUAUACUUCAGUUGAUUAGAGGUUGGUGAUGACAACGCCAAGAUUGCAGGUUCGAUCCCCGUAAGGACA